AACGAACGCUGGCGGCAGGCCUAAAACAUGCAAGUCGAGCGGGCAUAGCAAUAUGUCAGCGGCGGACGGGUGAAUAACACGUGGGAACAUGCCCUUUGGUACGGAACAACUCAGGGAAACUUGAGCUAAUACCGUAUGUGCCGGUAACGGGAAAGAUUUAUCGCCAAAGGAUUGGCCCGCGUCCGAUUAGCUAGUUGGUGAGGUAACGGCUCACCAAGGCGACGAUCGGUAGCUGGUUUGAGAGAACGAUCAGCCACACUGGGACUGAGACACGGCCCAGACUCCUACGGGAGGCAGCAGUUGGGAAUCUUGGACAAUGGGGGAAACCCUGAUCCAGCCAUGCCGCGUGAGCGAUGAAGGCC
rnacentral:rRNA from 1 species